UGGCCCUUAGCUCAUCGGUUAGAGCAGCGUUCUUAUACAGCGUUGGUGCGGAGUUCAAUUCUCCGAGGGCCGACCA
rnacentral:tRNA from 1 species